rnacentral:rRNA from 1 species
AUUGAACGCUGGCGGCAUGCCUAACACAUGCAAGUCGAACGAGUGGCGGACGGGUGAGUAAUGUCGGGGAAACUGCCUGAUGGAGGGGGCUAACUACUGGAAACGGUAGCUAAUACCGCAUACAACCAGUUGUGCCCAGAUGGGAUUAGCUUGUUGGUGGGGUAACGGCUCACCAAGGCGACGAUCCCUAGCUGGACUGAGAGGAUGACCGGCCACACUGGAACUGAGACACGGUCCAGACUCCUACGGGAGGCAGCAGUGGGGAAUAUUGGACAAUGGGCGCAAGUCUGAUGCAGCCAUGCCGCGUGUAUGAAGAAGGCUUUCGGGUUGUAAAGUACUUUCAGCGGGGAGGCGUUACCCGCAGAAGAAGCAACGGCUAACUCCGUGCCAGCAGCCGCGGUAAUAC